rnacentral:lncRNA from 1 species
UCUGGAAUCAUCUUUGCCACUUUAACAUUCAGGGUACCCUGCCCAUAUAUAGUAUUGAUGUUUCGUGUCACUACAGUUGUUGUAUGCCUUUUGGUUAGACUCAUACAGCAAAAUAUGCCGUAUGAGCUUCAUACAUCUUCAUUUCCUAUAGAUUUUAAUGGCACAAAAGAUGCAUGUACAACUGUUGUUGUUCUCUGCCUCACCUUACAUGAAGAGCAUGCCAUGCAAUGUGUCUUAUGCUCUUGGUCUCUUUCAUUAUCUGGUUGCCAGAAGCAGUAGUUCUGUGGGACAUGCAAAAAAAAGAC